rnacentral:rRNA from 1 species
UACGUAGGGUGCAAGCGUUGUCCGGAAUUAUUGGGCGUAAAGAGCUCGUAGGCGGUUCGUCACGUCGGCUGUGAAAUCCCGAGGCUCAACCUCGGGUCUGCAGUCGAUACGGGCGGACUGGAGUACUGCAGGGGAGACUGGAAUUCCUGGUGUAGCGGUGAAAUGCGCAGAUAUCAGGAGGAACACCAAUUGCGAAGGCAGCUCGCUGGAACGUUACUGACGCUGAGACGCGAAAGCGUGGGGAGCAAACAGG